UACGUAGGUGGCAAGCGAUACUCGGAAUCACUAGGCGUAAAGCGCAGGUAGGAGGUUUAGUAAGUCUGUUGUGAAAGCUCCCGGCUCAACUGGGAGAGGUCAACGGAAACUGCUAGGCUAGAGUGUGGUAGAGGUAGCUGGAAUUCCCGGGUGUAGCGGUGAAAUGCGUAGAUAUCGGGAGGAAUACCUAUGGCGAAAGCAGGCUACUGGACCAUCACUGACUCUGAUCUGCGAAAGGCUAGGGGA
rnacentral:rRNA from 1 species